UGACACUGAACCGUGUUGGACAGUUUGGGCAGCAAUGGGAACCUCAUCGGCAUCGUGCAGGGCAUACAUAUGCUGGAUUCCAUGACCGAAGGCAGGUGGUGCAUCUAUUUCGACCUCGUCUUCAGGAACGGGAGUUCAAGGGAUCUACAGUCAAGCUAUUGGGAAAUAUUGGUCCAGCUGAUGAUGGCGAGUGGGCCAUUGUUGGUGGAACUGGAGAGCUUACUCUUGCCCAGGGGGUGGUCUCCUUCAAGAAGGUGCAAGGUGGUAGCGGCAUGAUCAUCAGGGAGCUUAAGUUCCGUGUAUUCUAUACACCCAUAAAAGCCUAGAUGCAGACCAGGGAGCUCAUUCUUUAUGCCCAAAUCAGCCGAUGCAUGGAUCGGAUGGACGAUGUUUCCCUUCUUUCACCUUACUUCUCCAGUUGCAGAAAUAAUAGGGCGGACAGAUCGAUGCCCUGAUCUGUUGCAGUCUUGCACUGACAUCCUUUAAGAGCGAGUGGUUUCCCCUUCUCGUGUUAUGUUUCCUGAAUUCAAGCUAUGUAUGCUGCCUUUGAAAUUAAAUCAAUGGAUCUUUUAUUACUUGAUUUCGAA